ACGGGAGGCAGCAGUGGGGAAUAUUGCACAAUGGGGGAAACCCUGAUGCAGCGAUGCCGCGUGGAGGAAGAAGGUUUUCGGAUUGUAAACUCCUGUCUUAAAGGACGAUAAUGACGGUACUUUAGGAGGAAGCUCCGGCUAACUACGUGCCAGCAGCCGCGGUAAUACGUAGGGAGCGAGCGUUGUCCGGAAUUACUGGGUGUAAAGGGAGCGUAGGCGGGAUUGCAAGUCAGAUGUGAAAUACAGGGGCUCAACCUCUGGGCUGCAUUUGAAACUGUAGCCCUUGAGUAUCGGAGAGGCAAGCGGAAUUCCUAGUGUAGCGGUGAAAUGCGUAGAUAUUAGGAGGAACACCAGUGGCGAAGGCGGCUUGCUGGACGACAACUGACGCUGAGGCGCGAAAGCGUGGGGAGCAAACAGGAUUAGAUACCCUGGUA
rnacentral:rRNA from 1 species